rnacentral:rRNA from 2 species
GAGUUUGAUCCUGGCUCAGAACGAACGCUGGCGGCAGGCUUAACACAUGCAAGUCGAGCGCACAGUUUACUGUGAGCGGCAGACGGGUGAGUAACGCGUGGGAAUCUACCUUGAGCUACGGGAUAACAGAGAGAAAUUUCUGCUAAUACCGUAUGUGGCCUUUGGGCGAAAGAUUUAUCGGCUUAAGAUGAGCCCGCGUUGGAUUAGCUGGUUGGUGGGGUAAAGGCCUACCAAGGCGACGAUCCAUAGCUGGUCUGAGAGGAUGAUCAGCCACACUGGGACUGAGACACGGCCCAGACUCCUACGGGAGGCAGCAGUGGGGAAUAUUGGACAAUGGGCGCAAGCCUGAUCCAGCCAUGCCGCGUGAGUGAAGAAGGCCUUAGGGUUGUAAAGCUCUUUCACCGGUGAAGAUAAUGACGGUAGCCGGAGAAGAAGCCCCGGCUAACUUCGUGCCAACAGCCGCGGUAAUACGAAGGGGGCUAGCGUUGUUCGGAUUUACUGGGCGUAAAGCGCGCGUAGGCGGAUAGAUAAGUCAGAGGCGAAAUCCCGGGGCUCAACCCCGGAAUUGCCUUUGAUACUGUUUAUCUUGAGUGCAGAAGAGGUAAGUGGAAUUCCGAGUGUAGAGGUGAAAUUCGUAGAUAUUCGGAGGAACACCAGUGGCGAANGCGGCUUACUGGUCUGCANCUGACGCUGANGCGCGAAAGCGUGGGGAGCAAAC